CGCAGACCCUCUGGCACCCUGUGCAUUUGGGACUUCGCACACUAUGUCUCGUCUGCGGCCUCCACUGGACAAUGAGACCUGUUCUUGGGGAAGAUCCCGACUAAGCCAUUUUCCAGUGGCACCUCUUCCACCAUGAGUUCCUGAGGCAGUCCGAUGGGGCUACUUUAUUCCAGAACAAUCACAGUGAGACCUCUUCUCCCAAUAAAUGCCCCUUUUCUCUCCUUAA